rnacentral:rRNA from 1 species
UUUGGAGAGUUUGAUCCUGGCUCAGGAUGAACGCUGGCGGCGUGCCUAAGGUAUGCAAGUCGAACGGUAAGGCCCCUUCGGGGGUACACAAGUGGCAAACGGCUGAGUAAUACGUAGGAAUCUACCCUAAACUCAGGGAUAGCCCCGUGAAAAUGGGGGUAAAACCUGAUAGUCCCCGUACCUAACAGUACAUGGGUAAAACUUUAGUGGUUUGGGAUGAGCCUGCGGCAUAUCAGGUUGUUGGUAGGGUAAUGGCCUACCAAGCCGAUGACGUGUAGCUGGUCUGAGAGGAUGGUCAGCCAGAAUGGGACUGCGACACGGCCCAUACUCCUACGGGAGGCAGCAAUUAGGAAUCUUGCGCAAUGGACGAAAGUCUGACGCAGCGACGCCGCGUGGAGGAUGACGGUCUUCGGAUUGUAAACUCCUUUUAUUAGGGAACAAGUUCUGAGUGUACCUAAUGAAUAAGCACCCCCUGACUACGUGCCAGAAGGGUCGGUGAUACGUAGGGUGCAAGCGUUAUCCGGAUUUAUUGGGCGUAAAGGGACGCGUAGGCGGCCUCUCAAGUUCUUCGUUAAAUCCUAUGGCUUAACUGUAGAAAAGCGGAGAAAACUAGGAGGAUAGAGGGAGUUAGAGGAAAGCGGAAUUCCUGGUGGAGCGGUGAAAUGCGUUGAUAUCAGGAGGAACACCAAGUGCGAAGGCAGCUUUCUGGGACUCACCUGACGCUAAUGCUCGAAAGCGUGGGUAGCAAAGCGGAUUAGAUACCCGUGUAGUCCACGCCGUAAACGAUCUCUGCUAGACGUAUGUUCUGAUAAGGUUUCCCUUCGGGGAAAAGUUUUAUUGGGAUGUGUGUUACAGCUAACGCAUUAAGCAGAGCGCCUGGGGAGUACGGUCGCAAGGCUAAAACUCAAAGGAAUUGACGGGGACUCGCACAAGCAGUGGAGCGUUUGGUUUAAUUCGAUGCUAAACGAAGAAUCUUACCAGGGCUUGAACUUAUACUGCACGCCCCGAGAAACCGGGGAAGCCUUCGAGGGUGUAUAAGAGGUGCUGCAUGGCUGUCGUCAGCUCGUGUCGUGAGAUGUUGGGUUAAGUCCCGCAACGAGCGCAACCCCUAUCCAGUGUUAUAAUUUCUCUGGAGACUGCCUUGCCAAAACGAGGAGGAAGGUGGGGACGACGUCUAGUCAUCAUAGCCCUUAUGUCCUGGGCUACACAAGCGCUACAAUGGUCGAUACAAUGGGUGGCCAAACCGCGAGGUGGAGCUAAUCCCGCAAAAUCGAUCCCAGUUCGGAUUGUAGGCUGAAAUUCGCCUGUAUGAAGUUGGAAUUGCUAGUAAUCGUGGAUCAGCAAGCCACGGUGAAUACGUUCUCGAGUCUUGUACACACCGCCUGUCAAGUCACGGAAGUUGGUUUUACCCGUAGGCUCACCACGUCUAACGUGGGGGGACGACGGUAGGGCUGGCGACUAGGGCUAAGUCAUAACAAGGUAGCCGUAGGGGAAUCUGCGGCUGGAUCACCUCCUUUCUAGGGA